GGUGCGUUAGUUCAGUAGGUUAGAAUGCCUGCCUGUCACGCAGGAGGUCACGAGUUCGAGUCUCGUACGCACCGCAA
rnacentral:tRNA from 1 species